GAUGAACGCUGGCGGCGUGCCUAAUACAUGCAAGUCGAGCGAACAGACGAGGAGCUUGCUCCUCUGACGUUAGCGGCGGACGGGUGAGUAACACGUGGAUAACCUACCUAUAAGACUGGGAUAACUUCGGGAAACCGGAGCUAAUACCGGAUAAUAUAUUGAACCGCAUGGUUCAAUAGUGAAAGACGGUUUUGCUAUCACUUAUAGAUGGAUCCGCGCCGCAUUAGCUAGUUGGUAAGGUAACGGCUUACCAAGGCAACGAUGCGUAGCCGACCUGAGAGGGUGAUCGGCCACACUGGAACUGAGACACGGUCCAGACUCCUACGGGAGGCAGCAGUAGGGAAUCUUCCGCAAUGGGCGAAAGCUUGACGGAGCAACGCCGCGUGAGUGAUGAAGGUCUUCGGAUCGUAAAACUCUGUUAUUAGGGAAGAACAAAUGUGUAAGUAACUAUGCACGUCUUGACGGUACCUAAUCAGAAAGCCACGGCUAACUACGUG
rnacentral:rRNA from 1 species